UGAAUCAGUAGCUUGCUACUGCGCUGGGGGGAGAUGGGAAAGUCCUGGCUGAAAAGUUAGUGUACCGGUACCUGCACCCCUAUCAUACCCUUGUCUUUUGAGCACUUAUGUUUCCUUGGUGGGCUUGCCUGCCGAUAGGACAACUUUUAAACCUUUUAAUAUAUCAAUCAGCGUCUGAAAAAUAAUUAAUAAUUA
rnacentral:misc_RNA from 1 species